ACCUAAAUAGCUUAUAGAAGAGCAUGAUAUUGAAGAUAUCAAGGAAAUAAAAAUAUUUUUAGGUA
rnacentral:tRNA from 1 species